rnacentral:rRNA from 1 species
UGGGGAAUAUUGCACAAUGGGCGCAAGCCUGAUGCAGCCAUGCCGCGUGUGUGAAGAAGGCCUUCGGGUUGUAAAGCACUUUCAGCGAGGAGGAAGGGUAGUGUGUUAAUAGCACAUUGCAUUGACGUUACUCGCAGAAGAAGCACCGGCUAACUCCGUGCCAGCAGCCGCGGUAAUACGGAGGGUGCAAGCGUUAAUCGGAAUUACUGGGCGUAAAGCGCACGCAGGCGGUUUGUUAAGUCAGAUGUGAAAUCCCCGCGCUUAACGUGGGAACUGCAUUUGAAACUGGCAAGCUAGAGUCUUGUAGAGGGGGGUAGAAUUCCAGGUGUAGCGGUGAAGUGCGUAGAGAUCUGGAGGAAUACCGGUGGCGAAGGCGGCCCCCUGGACAAAGACUGACGCUCAGGUGCGAAAGCGUGGGGAGCAAACA